UACCGUGUUUCCUAAGAUUAUGUCAUUUUCCUCCAUGUUAAAUUCGAAUGUCUUUGAAAGGAUGUGAGAAAAUCAAGUGUAUUAACACAUUUUUUAUAUCCAUGUUUUUUUCCAAUACAAGUUUUUUCUAUUUUCAAAGAGAGCUGGGAAAGUUGCAUGCUUUCUUGUAUUUCUUCGAUUGAAAGCGUUCUGUCCAGUGAAUGAGUUGGAAAGGCAAUUCUUGAAGCUAAUUAAUUAUAAUAUCCAAGUUCCUGGCAGCAUUUACACCAAAUACUACUUUGAUCUUUGCACUUUGGCACAGGACCAUGCUGUUUGCCUCUUUAUCUCCUUGACAGAGAAAGAACACGGAAGCCGGAGCGUGUGUACGAUGAAGAAGUGGAGGAGCCAGUACUGAAGGCUGAGGCAGAAGAAACAGAGCAGGUACUUGUAUGAAAUCACUCUUGAGCUGAGUUUCUGACUUUGAGAAAUGUAGAGAUCGAUGUAUUAUGAGG
rnacentral:lncRNA from 1 species